GACGAACGCUGGCGGCGUGCUUAACACAUGCAAGUCGAGCGGUAAGGCUCCUUCGGGCGUACACGAGCGGCGAACGGGUGAGUAACACGUGAGUAAUCUGCCCUUCACUUCGGGAUAACCACCGGAAACGGUGGCUAAUACCGAAUACGACCAGUCUUCGCAUGAGGUGCUGGUGGAAAGUCUUUUCGGUGAAGGAUGUGCUCGCGGCCUAUCAGCUUGUUGGUGGGGUAAUGGCCUACCAAGGCUUCGACGGGUAGCCGGCCUGAGAGGGUGACCGGCCACACUGGGACUGAGACACGGACCAGACUCCUACGGGAGGCAGCAGUGGGGAAUAUUGGACAAUGGGCGAAAGCCUGAUCCAGCAACGCCGCGUGAGGGAUGACGGCCUUCGGGUUGUAAACCUCGUUCAGUACCGACGAAGCGCCCUGUCGGGUGGUGACGGUAGGUACAGAAGAAGGACCGGCCAACUACGUG
rnacentral:rRNA from 1 species